CAGUGCUGCAGCAAACGCAUUAAGCACUCCGCCUGGGGAGUACGACCGCAAGGUUGAAACUCAAAGGAAUUGACGGGGGCCCGCACAAGCGGUGGAGCAUGUGGUUUAAUUCGAAGCAACGCGAAGAACCUUACCAGGUCUUGACAUCCUUUGACCACUCUAGAGAUAGAGCUUUCCCUUCGGGGACAAAGUGACAGGUGGUGCAUGGUUGUCGUCAGCUCGUGUCGUGAGAUGUUGGGUUAAGUCCCGCAACGAGCGCAACCCUUAUUGUUAGUUGCCAUCAUUUAGUUGGGCACUCUAGCGAGACUGCCGGUGACAAACCGGAGGAAGGUGGGGAUGACGUCAAAUCAUCAUGCCCCUUAUGACCUGGGCUACACACGUGCUACAAUGGGAAGUACAACGAGUCGCUAGACCGCGAGGUCAUGCAAAUCUCUUAAAGCUUCUCUCAGUUCGGAUUGCAGGCUGCAACUCGCCUGCAUGAAGCCGGAAUCGCUAGUAAUCGCGGAUCAGCACGCCGCGGUGAAUACGUUCCCGGGCCUUGUACACACCGCCCGUCACACCACGAGAGUUUGUAACACCCGAAGUCGGUGAGGUAACCUUUUUGGAGCCAGCCGCCUAAGGUGGGAUAGAUGAUUGGGGUGAAGUCGUAACAA
rnacentral:rRNA from 1 species